GGUUGUCUGUGGUAGGGGAGUCACAGCUCUACUGGGGUUGUCUGUGGUAGGGGAGUCACAGCUCUACUGGGGUUGUCUGUGGUAGGGGAGUCACAGCUCUACUGGAGUUGUCUGUGGUAGGGGGUAGGGGAGUCACAGCUCUACUGGGGUUGUCUGUGGUAGGGGGUAGGGGAGUCACAGCUCUACUGGGGUUGUCUGUGGUAGGGGGUAGGGGGUAGUGGAGUCACAGCUCUACUGGGGUUGUCUGUGGUAGGGGGUAGGGUAGGGGAGUCACAGCUCUACUGGGGUUGUCUGUGGUAGGGGGUAGGGUAGGGGAGUCACAGCUCUACUGGGGUUGUCUGUGGUAGCGGGUAGGGUAGGGGAGUCACAGCUCUACUGGGGUUGUCUGUGGUAGGGGAGUCACAGCUCUACUGGGGUUGUCUGUGGUAGGGGGUAAGGUAGGGGAGUAUCUUUACACCCAUCCCCAUAUGUGCCACGGAGAGCGCCACUUUGGGGGUUCCCAUAGGCAGCGUAGCAUGGAGACCAGGCUGCAUGGGGACCAGGCUGCAUGGGGACCAGGCUGCAUGGGGACCAGGCUGCAUGGGGACCAGGCUGCAUGGAGACCAGGCUGCAUGGGGAUCAGGCUGCAUGGACAUCAGGCUGCAUGGAGACCAGGCUGCAUGGAGAUCAGGCUGCAUGGAGACCAGGCUGCAUGGAGAUCAGGCUGCAUGGAGAUCAGGCUGCAUGGACAUCAGGCUGCAUGGAGACCAGGAUGCAUGGAGAUCAGGCUGCAUGGGGACCAGGCUGCAUGGAGACCAGGCUGCAUGGGCAUCAGGCUGCAUGGAGACCAGGCUGCAUGGAGAUCAGGCUGCAUGGGGACCAGGCUGCAUGGUCACUAGGCUGCAUGGAGAUGCCAGAGUGAUACUCAGCACUUAGCUUUGUGCUCCCCUGACCAUGAUGCCUGCUGGGAAGCUGACUGGCUGACUGGGAGGCUAACUGGCUGACUGGGAGGCUGACUGACUGGGUGGCUGAC
rnacentral:lncRNA from 1 species